ensembl:lncRNA
GCAUCAUUUGUUUUAGGAAAUACUCACAUGUACCGAAACACAUUUACAACAACUCUGCACUAAACUCACAAUGAUAGCAUCGUAUAAUACUCUGCUGUAUUUUUUAAAAGGUUUUUUCCUCAUUUAUUACAGUUUGCACUCCAGAAAAAAGUAAAAAAAGUCCAAGGUUAUGGGGCGUGGGAGUGGACUACUACCGUAUUUUUCGGACCAUAAGGCGCACAUUAAGCGAAAAAAAAAAAAAAGUCAGAAAAGUCAAACUUUAUUCAAAUCAUUCUUCUUGCUUCCUCCACUUCUGUACCAUUGAUUCAUUAAUGCUGAAUCCUCUCUCAGCUGCUCUAUUCCCAUGUUGUUGCAGUAUAUUAAUGACUAACCUCGUAUUGUGGAAGGAUUAUCUCAGUUGUUCUCCUGACUGAAGUUUGGUCCGUUUACAGCAUCCUGCCAUGCGAUUGCAUUUGUCUCUAACCAUCAGGAACCCUCACGUUAACUUUUAUCCAGUGGAAAACUGUUCGCGUUCAUCCUUCAGCUUCACUAUGUUUAUGCUAUGCUAACAUAGCUGUGUUGCUAGCGAUCAUGUAGCACAUCAUUAUAUAGCAGCUAGCCCAACUUCAGUAACCAUACAAACGUCACUGCUGUUUAAUUUUCUGUCUUCAUUUAUGUUGGAAGUGAUAGCAGAGCUGUACGUUUUGAAUUUUUUCAGAAAUCUCUCAGUCAGAACAUGCUAUAUCAUGCUUAGGUGGAAGCUAGCGAGCUAACUUCCUGCUAACUUCUAACUUUGUUAAAUGUAAUCAGUUCUAUUUUAAUGGAUGCCUGGAUGUUAAACUUAAUUGUUACACCUGGUAAAGCAGCAACGCUGAUCAUUUUAUUAAAAAUGAAAGAAUUUAGUCAGUUUUUAACUCUCAUUGAUGCCGCAGUGUUCGUUUGACUUUGGGACCUGAGGCAGUAGUGAUGUGUCGUUCACGAACGAAACGGCUCUUAGAGCUGGGUCUUUGAAGUGAACAACAAGAGCCGUAUUUUUUUUUUUUUCUUUCUCUCUCUCUCACACUUUUUUCCCGCUUCACUCCGCAUGUGAGUCUUGUGCUUUGCGCUGGGAAGAGGGGCGGUAGUUACACUCGCAGUAGCACAGGAACAGAGCAGGAGGGAGAGACAGAGAAGGAGAGCCAGGGACAACAACGUCACAUUAGAAAAGUAUAGUAAUCAUCCACAACUAUUUUCAGUUGCGGAUGAUAAAGGAUUCAGAAAGUUUUUACAUGCAGGCCCAUAUGAGAGAAAAUGUGCAUCUUCUUUUUGUUUUCAUAUUUUAAUUUAUAUUUAAUUGUGUUGUGGUUUGCAGUGUUUUGUGUUGUUUCACUUUAAAUUUGUUUAAAAGGAAAAAACUGAACAUUUAAAUUGUUAAAAGUUGAAAUGUAAAUGGUUGUUUUUUGUAUUAUAUGAUUUAUUUAGGCAGCACGGUGGCACGGUGGUUAGCACUGUUGCCGCACAGCAAGAAGGUCCUGAGUUCAAUUCCAACAUCAGGCCGGGGUCUUUCUGUGUGGAGUUUGCAUGUUCUCCCCGUGUUUGCGUGGGUUCCCUCCGGGUACUCCGGCUUCCUCCCACCGUCCAAAGACAUGCAGCUUGUGGGGAUAGGUUAAUUGGAUAACCCAAAUUGUCACUAGGUGUGAAUGUGCGAAUGAAAGUGAGUGCGAAUGGUUGUCUGUCCCUGUAUGUUGGCCCUGCGACAGACUGGCGACCUGUCCAGGGUGUACCCCGCCUCUCGCCCUAUGACAGCUGGGAUAGGCUCCAGCGCCCCCCGCGACCCUGAAAAAGGAUAAGCGGAAGCGAAUGGAUGGAUGGAUGAUUUAUUUAUUAUAUUUUAUGUGGAGUGAAUAAAUAAAAGUAUAUUUACGGUAACCGCUAGAGACAAAGCACGUACAAACCCC